rnacentral:rRNA from 1 species
UACGAAGGGGGCUAGCGUUGUUCGGAAUUACUGGGCGUAAAGCGCACGUAGGCGGAUAUUUAAGUCAGGGGUGAAAUCCCAGAGCUCAACUCUGGAACUGCCUUUGAUACUGGGUAUCUUGAGUAUGGAAGAGGUAAGUGGAAUUGCGAGUGUAGAGGUGAAAUUCGUAGAUAUUCGCAGGAACACCAGUGGCGAAGGCGGCUUACUGGUCCAUUACUGACGCUGAGGUGCGAAAGCGUGGGGAGCAAACAGGGAU